GGACAGAGUCCCUGUCUCAUAACGGACAAGGAUGGCUUGCAGAGGAACUGAGUAUGUAACAUCUCUUGCCUGAGGAUACCUGAAGUGAAAGGGACAGAGUCCCUGUCUCAUACUGGACAAGGACGGCUUGCAGAGGAACUGAGUAGGGAACAUCACAUGAAGUUGGAAGAAGCCUAGCAUUGCCUGCCCUGAAGUCAUCAGUUGAAUCUCUCUUGCCUGAGGAUACCUGAAGUGAAAGGGACAGAGUCCCUGUCUCAUAACGGACAAGGACGGCUUGCAGAGGAACUGAGUAUGGAACAUCAGAUGAAGUUGGAAGAAGCCUAACAUCGCCUGCCCUGAUGUCAUCAGUUGAAGCUCUCUUGCCUGAG
rnacentral:sRNA from 1 species